rnacentral:lncRNA from 1 species
CGUAAUUCUGGCAGUGAGAUUCAUGGAUUGAGUUGUAUUUUUUUAUUUUCAUGGAAGUUGCCAGAUUUCUUUGAAAUGGGACUGUAGUGUUUCAUCUUUCCAGCAUUAGUGUAUUAGUGUACCCCUGCCUCUCUACUAAAAGUAGCUGUUACUCUUUAACCUUGAGAAGUUUUAUGAUCUCAAACUGAUAACUAAGUUUAUUUUAAUUUACCUGUUAACUUGCCUCUUUAAAUGUUUCUUGGACAUUUGAUUUGCUGUUCUGUAGGUUGCGUUUAUAAACCAUUUAUUCAUACAUUUUUCUUUUUGGAUUGCUUGUCUUGUCAAUUUUUAACAGCUUUAAUAUGUUAAAGGUAGUAACUCCUUUGAAAAAAAAACCAACCAUUGCUUAUUUGUUGACUUUGUGUAUGCUAUUUUUCCGUUUGCAUAAUUUUAUUUUUUACAUGUUUAAAUAUGUCAGUCUAUUCUUUUACAGUUUCUGAAUUUCUAGUCUUAUUUAAGCUUCACAUAAGAUUUUUAAGUGGGGUUUUUUUUUUUAGUAUAUUUUGUAAAUAUUUUGGGAAAUUGAUUCAUUUUUUUCUUGGACGUGGAUAGCCACUUUCACAGUUGUAGAUACUGUUGGUAUGCGAGCACUUCCAGUACUCCUCUCUCACUACUUACUCACUUCAUUAGCGUCUUUUGAAGCUGGUAGUGGUCAAGUGACCUGACUCAGGUCAAGAGAAGCAAAACACUGGUAAAUGUGUUCUGACAAAACCUUUGCUUUCCUAAGAAAAAGGACAGACUUAGCUGCUGCCGUCAAUUUACCCUUCCUCCUGCCUUGUACAUGAUGUCUGGGGGAGUGACAACCUCUCAACCACAGGGGAAAAGUCAAAAGAAUCAGAGACACUGGUCCUGACAGUAUUUAGUCAACACUAGCAGCAGGUUAACUCCAGACUUCUGCUAUGUCAUAAAAAUAAACGUGUUUUGCAUAAGCCAUUCUAUUCUAGGUUUCUCUUGCACCUGAAAGUAUGCCUACUUUUAUUCAGGCAUCAAUAUUUAUAAAGUAAUCCAUCUUUUCUCUAUUAAAAUAAGUAGAAAAGACUUUUUUAAACCCCUGUAAACUAGACACUCCACACAAACCUAAGUAAGGUAGAGAGAGAAUAAAAUCACACAUUUGUAAUAAGUAAAAAGAACCACAGAUACGAGAUCAAUUAAUAGGAUCAGAAGAGAUCAUUACCUAGAGUAAAUGAAUGAUUUUCCAGCAAGAUAUAAUUGAUCAAAAUUUAAAAUGAUGAAAAACUGAAAAAAGUCAAUAACCAUAAAAGACGCUGUAAAUGUUACAGAGCAACCAUUUAAAAUGUACCAGGACCAUAGGAAAAGAUUCCUUAGAUAGGACACAUAAAUAAUGAAGUAUAAAAUUUAAAAAUGAUAAAUUUAACUUCUCAAAAUUAAAAACUCAUUCUUUGAAAGGCAUUGUUAAAAAAAUGAAAAGCGAAGACAGAAUGUGGGAGAAUAUUUCCAAUAGAUAUCUCACAAAAGAUUCGUAUUCUGAAAAUAUAAAGAAAUUUACAACCCAAUUGUAAGAAGGCGAAUAACCCAAUAAAAAAUGGCGACAAAUUCAAACAGACAUCAUGAAAGAAGAUAUGAAAUGGCGACUAAGGACAAGAAAGGAUUUUCAACAUUGGGCCAUCAGGGAACUACAAAUUAAAAUAAUAAUGAGACACAUCUAUACCCUCAUUAAAAUGACUGUAAUUUAAAUGAUUGACAGCACCCAGUGUUGGAAGCUGUGGAGCAACUAGAACUCAUACAUGAUGUGCACAAUUAUCAAAAUGCAUUGAACACAAUGGAUGCAGUUAAUUGUAUGUAAAUUUUAUCAAUAAAG